AUGGAGGUUAUGAUUAUUUUUCCGGAUGAUCGACGCUGAAUAUACAGUGCGUUUUUUUAAUCUCUUAUGAGACUCAAAGCCAGUCUUUUCUGAUCCAU